CGCACAUGCUAAAUUACAGCUGCAAGCAAAAUUCUUUAAUUUGAAGCCAAUAAGUAUAAACAUUUGAAAUUGCAAUUAACAUAAUAACGCGACAUCUUAUAGUUUUACAUAAUAACAGUUUAAUAAUUAAAAAACCAGAGCCUUGUGCGGGCAAAUGUCUAGCAUAAGAUAAGCUGAAUAACUUAUCUCUUCAUUUUCUCAGACAAGAAGCUAGUUCAAUACACUCGCACAUUAAUUAAUUGGUCAUUAUUUCUGUUUGCCUUAUAACCAAUUAGUCAUCGGUGCCAAAGUACCGAUCGCCAAACUCGCCCAUACCUGGUAUGACUCGAAACUCUUCAUUUAAUGCAGCAUCAAUCUCUGAGGUGACAAUUUUCAAGGAUGGGAACCUUUUGCAAACGCAAUGGAUACCCUCAGGAGCAGAGAUUAGGUUUAGGAAUAUAAUGUGUGAUUCUGGAACUCCUUUCUGUAUGAGUAGUUCUAUUGCUUGGUUGGCAGAGUUACCUACAAGGACAUCAAUCAUGGCAUUGCUCAUCAACAACCAUUCCUAAUAGUAAACAGGUAAAGAAAGCCCAAAAUUUGUCUGAACGUUGACUACUGCUGUAGAGGAAUGCAAGCAAUGAAUUGCAGUAAUAACACUCCCAAUCUAUAACAGUACGUUUUAUCAAUCAUUUCACUAGGAAGCAUUCCAUUUUCGGCUGGCAUUUCCAGGAUCCCAUAGAACAGCAAUCCAAAAAUAAAUAUUGAGCUUGUUACAAUACAAUGUAUGGAUGGAAAAGCAUCUAUCCACAUUUAAAAGAAAAAAAAAUAAUAAAAAUUGAUUCAAUGAAUACUUAGCAACAGCCAUUGAACAAGUUAAGAGCUCUAUAGAUUCUUUGAACAGUAGUAGGGACAGAAAGAAAUGGAAAUUUGCAGCAAGAGAUCACCACCAAGUGGAGCAACUAAUAAAAUGAUAAGUCAUAAACAAAGUAAGAAGCAAUAAUGUACUUGAUUCGAAAGGAAGCAAUAAUGUACUUGAUUAGAAAGGAAGCAAUAAUGUACUUGAUUAGAAAGAAAGCAAUAAAUUAUCAUCUAUAAAUGAUUGAAAAGUGGAACUUAUACUCCAGGGAACCUGAAUAAAGCAGCAUUUUCAACUAUUAAUAGUCUAGAAGGUGAUGGCCAAAUCAUGGAACUUUGGAACAAAAAUCCCCCACCUAUUAAGUAAAAGCACUUUCAAAAAACCGAAGAGCAACUGCAAUUGAUGACAACUACCAUUUCCUUCCAUUGUGUAAGUCCCUAUUUUCAGUAGUUCACUCUUCCUAUAAAAAGAGCAACUAACUGCCCCAAAUUAAUCAUUCAUCUCAAAAUUGAGGCACAGAAGGUAAAACAUAAAAACUUCAAGUAAAUAGAAAAGCGAUUACCUGUAGCAAGAACAGGAUCUAGAAGUAGGACAUGUCUUUCUGGAAUAUCCUUGGGAAGCUUCUCAUAUAUAAGCUGUUUCCCAUUGUCUCCAUCACGAUGAAUAAGAAUUUUUCCAAUUUUUAUUCCUUUGCAACAUGCACGCAAUGCAUUUUCCAUGCUUUCUCCACUGAAAAUGACAGACAAGUAAACCGCAUUAGAACUAAGAGAUACAAUAUCAAGGCUCAGAAUGACCCUAGCAGCUAGAAUCAGGAAUCACGCGCUGGCAAAGAGGAUCUGAAACUUAUUGUAGUUUCAGUGUAAAAUGAACUGGCAGUGAAUUGCAUUCCAAAUAAGAUGUUAUUGCCAGUGCCAGAUGACUGGACUGCAGAAAUCAAUACCCGAUUUAAAGCUCACCUACGAACAAUGGAAAUCCCACAUAGUUUCUUGCAAAAGUCAACCCCAGUGUACACCGAUCCUGUUGGCGUAAUUACUUGCUUCUCUGUGAAUGGCAAAUGUCCAAGACCAUGCUCCACAACCUGAACAUGAGAAUCAAAACAGUGACCUCCAAACAACACACGUAUUCAAUAUUGAUUCAUCAACACAUUUCUGCCAAGCUACAUAGAAGAGUACCAAACGGAUAAGCCGAUCUGAAUAAAAUACAAAAUCAUGCUUUGAUAUAUCCUUGUCUCGAAUCAAUGUAUGCAUACCUCUUAUCUGCAACACAAAUUACACCCAAAAGCAAAUCCAAACUAAGACUAUUCACAGAGAAAAGAGAUAAUACUCUAUACACACAGUCACACAUGUGCAAGCACACACAUAAUAGUAGAGGCUUACGAAGAACUUCAAGCAACACAAGCCUUAAUCAUUGAUACACCCAUGUUCACAUGGAUUUUUAUUGUUAAAACACAACAGUAUUUUUCCUCCUUUCUUCUUUUUCUGCUUAAUCAAAUAUGCAUACAGAUAAAGAAGAGGACCAAGUAGAAGCCUAACUCACACUCAACAUAUCAAAAGAGUGCCAAAUUUUGUCUACUAACCAUAUAGAUGUCCAAUUCCCAGAAAAAUAUGCCACAAUCCAAUACAAACUCAUAGAGCGCUGCAAUUUGCAUUCUAUACAAAACAACAGUCUUUUCUAUUUGGCUGCUCUAGUGGUUUGUGAAAUAUCAAACACGUGGCACUAAUAGAGUACACAUUAUUUGCCCACUUUAGAAGCAAAAAGAUUGCAAGAAUUCAAAUUCUUCGCAUAAUAAAAUUAAGUUGUAAGGAUUAAGCCAAAAAAAGAAACAAGACACAGAAAACCAAGCAGAAGGCAUACCUGAAAUGUUGACUGAAUAACAUAAACAUUUGGAUAUAUUUUGCAAAGAUCAUGUUGACCAAGUUUUGUGCGGAUAUGUUGUACUAUCAAAUCAAUGGCAACAUGAUUAUCACCUCCCCGGGGUAUGAUCACAUCUGCGUACUUCUUUGAUGGCAACACAAAAUCAUCAAAAGCCGGCUUCACAAAUUUUGCAUACUGCUCAAGAACAGAGUUUAUGUCCCUACCCCUCUCAACUGUGUCACGCCUUAUUCUCCGAGCAAGCCUUACAUCCGCAUCCACAUAGAAGGCUGAUAAUUCCAAACACUAUGGACUGGACGCUCUUUCACUCUUCUAAAUAGACAAAUAUGUCAUUAUUAUUACAAUAUUUAGUCAAUAAAAAGAAGAUUAGGGUUUGCAAAUGGCAAAAAAGUCAUAACAUCUUUGAAAGAGAAGAAAAGGAAUAUUUACGGACAAAAUUGUAAUUGUGAUUUGAUGGUGAACUAAGGGACACAUGUACAAGUAUGCCAAAUAGGUAACCAAUAGAGAAGACUCAGAUGUACUGCACCUUAAGUCUUAAGCCUGUGCUGAUUGGAACACACCAAACUUUGAAAUCGGCAAUUAACUUACCAAUUAGCAAUCCAAACUUACUAAGCAGUGAGUGAGUUUUCUGACACACACAUGCACACAUUGCAUGAAAGCUAUGAAAUGCGGAUAUUGGUGAUGAUGGAGAUCACUGCAGCAGUGCUGAUGAACAACCAGGAAGAAAAGGUUCAAACCUGCCUAAAGCUAUCUGCACGGCGGAGAUGAGUUUUAAAAUCAUAAAUUGGAAUUUGAUAAGGUUGUCCACUUCUGAGCUUUUGAAUGCAGUCUAAAAGUUGUUCAGUGUCAAAUGCAUCAGGAUGGUCAAAAUUAUACUCAUGGACACGUUCUAAUUCUGCAGUUGUCAAACCACGGUAAAAUGAAUCCUGAUUGACAAGCACAACCCUGUGAUCGUGAAGCUGUUGAAUGAUCAUGUCACAUACUGUAGUCUUACCCGAAGCUGCACCUCCUGAUACUCCUAUUCAAUUACAUCAAAACCCCAACCCCAACAUUCAAAUAUAAUGAAAGGAAAAGCUGCAAAUAUAUAAUAAGGAAUUGUUCAAUUAGCAACUAGAGGGCAAAUAUACUAUAGAAUUCUAGCAUUUCAUCAAAUAUAAAUAACAAGGCAAGUUUAAUGAAGUUGAAGUUUGAUUAUGAAAGCAAUAAAAUCAGUUUGCAUUUCCAAAAGAAAGCGAAAACAAAAGCAAGAGACGAGAAGAAGGUAGAAUGAAAUUAAAUCACCAAUGACAAAGGGCUGUUUGGGAGUAAGCGGAGAAGCUGAAGCUGAAACGGCACAUGUGCGGUGAGUUGGCGAAGUCGAGGAGGAGGAAGACAGAGAUGAAAGGAGGCCGUUGAGCCGUAGGCCGGAGAAGUGGGGGCCCGACGCCUUUUCCAUUAUGUAAUCUAUGGAACUGGCCUGCUCCGACAUCAGCUCUGGCUUCGUUCUUAUUGUGAAUUUGAAACUGAAAAGAAAUCCAAUGAAACGGAGACUUUUAAUUUGAUU
rnacentral:misc_RNA from 1 species